rnacentral:rRNA from 1 species
GACGAACGCUGGCGGCGUGCCUAAUACAUGCAAGUAGAACGCUGAAGGAGGAGCUUGCUUCUCUGGAUGAGUUGCGAACGGGUGAGUAACGCGUAGGUAACCUGCCUGGUAGCGGGGGAUAACUAUUGGAAACGAUAGCUAAUACCGCAUAAUAGUAGAUGUUGCAUGACAUUUGCUUAAAAGGUGCAAUUGCAUCACUACCAGAUGGACCUGCGUUGUAUUAGCUAGUUGGUGAGGUAACGGCUCACCAAGGCGACGAUACAUAGCCGACCUGAGAGGGUGAUCGGCCACACUGGGACUGAGACACGGCCCAGACUCCUACGGGAGGCAGCAGUAGGGAAUCUUCGGCAAUGGACGGAAGUCUGACCGAGCAACGCCGCGAGAGUGAAGAAGGUUUUCGGAUCGUAAAGCUCUGUUGUAAGAGAAGAACGAGUGUGAGAGUGGAAAGUUCACACUGUGACGGUAUCUUACCAGAAAGGGACGGCUAACUACGUG